rnacentral:rRNA from 1 species
GAAUUCGCCCUUAGAGUUUGAUCCUGGCUCAGGACGAACGCUGGCGGCGCGCCUAACACAUGCAAGUCGAACGAGCGAGAGAGAGCUUGCUUUCUCAAGCGAGUGGCGAACGGGUGAGUAACGCGUGAGGAACCUGCCUCAAAGAGGGGGACAACAGUUGGAAACGACUGCUAAUACCGCAUAAGCCCACGACCCGGCAUCGGGUAGAGGGAAAAGGAGCAAUCCGCUUUGAGAUGGCCUCGCGUCCGAUUAGCUAGUUGGUGAGGUAAUGGCCCACCAAGGCGACGAUCGGUAGCCGGACUGAGAGGUUGAACGGCCACAUUGGGACUGAGACACGGCCCAGACUCCUACGGGAGGCAGCAGUGGGGAAUAUUGCACAAUGGGGGAAACCCUGAUGCAGCGACGCCGCGUGGAGGAAGAAGGUCUUCGGAUUGUAAACUCCUGUUGUUGAGGAAGAUAAUGACGGUACUCAACAAGGAAGUGACGGCUAACUACGUGCCAGCAGCCGCGGUAAAGCGUAGGUCACAAGCGUUGUCCGGAAUUACUGGGUGUAAAGGGAGCGCAGGCGGGAAGACAAGUUGGAAGUGAAAUCCAUGGGCUCAACCCAUGAACUGCUUUCAAAACUGUUUUUCUUGAGUAGUGCAGAGGUAGGCGGAAUUCCCGGUGUAGCGGUGGAAUGCGUAGAUAUCGGGAGGAACACCAGUGGCGAAGGCGGCCUACUGGGCACCAACUGACGCUGAGGCUCGAAAGUGUGGGUAGCAAACAGGAUUAGAUACCCUGGUAGUCCACACUGUAAACGAUGAUUUAUUAGGUGUUGGAGGAUUGACCCCUUCAGUGCCGCAGUUAACACAAUAAGUAAUCCUCCUGGGGAGUACGUCCGCAAGGUUGAAACCCAAAGGAAUUGACGGGGGCCCGCACAAGCAGUGGAGUAUGUGGUUUAAUUCGACGCAACGCGAAGAACCUUACCAAGUCUUGACAUCCUGCGACGGACAUAGAAAUAUGUUUUUCCUUCGGGACGCAGAGACAGGUGGUGCAUGGUUGUCGUCAGCUCGUGUCGUGAGAUGUUGGGUUAAGUCCCGCAACGAGCGCAACCCUUAUGGUCAGUUACUACGCAAGAGGACUCUGGCCAGACUGCCGUUGACAAAACGGAGGAAGGUGGGGAUGACGUCAAAUCAUCAUGCCCUUUAUGACUUGGGCUACACACGUACUACAAUGGCGUUAAACAAAGAGAAGCAAGACCGCGAGGUGGAGCAAAACUCAGAAACAACGUCCCAGUUCGGACUGCAGGCUGCAACUCGCCUGCACGAAGUCGGAAUUGCUAGUAAUCGCAGAUCAGCAUGCUGCGGUGAAUACGUUCCGCGGGCCUUGCACACACCGCCCGUCA